CUAACGGAUUUGGGUUUUGAUCCACGAUCUUUGAGAAAAAAAGAGUUUAUUGGAUUUGUAGAUAUAUGUAUAUGUGGUUUUUGGAAAAUUGGAGAGGGGAUGGGUUUCGUCGCAAAUCGACGACCGUAUCAGGUGAAAUAAAAUCAUGAGUUUGAUGACUUGGUCGUGCUGAACGCGCUGGCGCAAUCCGUUUGAAAAUUCAAUGGGCCGAUCUCUGGAUAUCGC
rnacentral:lncRNA from 1 species